rnacentral:rRNA from 1 species
AUUGAACGCUGGCGGCAGGCCUAACACAUGCAAGUCGAGCGGAUGAAGGGAGCUUGCUCCUGGAUUCAGCGGCGGACGGGUGAGUAAUGCCUAGGAAUCUGCCUGGUAGUGGGGAUAACGUCCGGAAACGGGCGCUAAUACCGCAUACGUCCUGAGGGAGAAAGUGGGGGAUCUUCGGACCUCACGCUAUCAGAUGAGCCUAGGUCGGAUUAGCUAGUUGGUGGGGUAAAGGCCUACCAAGGCGACGAUCCGUAACUGGUCUGAGAGGAUGAUCAGUCACACUGGAACUGAGACACGGUCCAGACUCCUACGGGAGGCAGCAGUGGGGAAUAUUGGACAAUGGGCGAAAGCCUGAUCCAGCAAUGCCGCGUGUGUGAAGAAGGUCUUCGGAUUGUAAAGCACUUUAAGUUGGGAGGAAGGGAAGUAAGUUAAUACCUUGCUGUUUUGACGGUACCAACAGAAUAAGCACCGGCUAACUUCGUG